CACGUCCUUCCUUGCUUCUAUUGUUGUCGUUGGAAGGGAGUAAUAUUUCUAAAGUAUAUUCAUUGUAUAGUGCGUUUUGUCCGCUAACCUCUGUAAGCAAAUACAUAUACACGAAAGACUGAAUUGGAAUAUUGAUGAUAUUGCAAGACAAAAGCGUAAUGAAGUUAACGUCUAAGCAGUAAACAUGUUGGUCGCCAAGGUUUUAAUGGCGAUUCGGUUAUUGUUCAAGAGAGAUUUUUUUACAUUAUAGCCGGUUAACAGCGUACGGAAGUUAGCAUUGUAUGAUAUAAACAUUAAACAUUUGGGUCACCUGGGUUUUAAUGGAGUUUCGUGCUUGAAAUCAUACAGAAAUUAACCAUAUCUACAAAUGGCUAGUGACCCAAUUAAGCCAUUAUAUUUUGAGAAAGCUAAGUCCUAUAUAUAUUAAAAAUUUUCAAAAAAGCUUAACUGCUAAUCAUUGUUUUCGGGAGUGUAUGUAUAAAGUAUUUGGAAGUCAUUUUUCAAAUUUGUCUUUCUGUGCAUGUGCUUUACAGUUGGUGUACAACAUGGAGAAGAGGUUCCAGGAGAUUUUCAAUUUUAUGUCUAGGGGUGAAUUCCCUAAUUUAUAGUGAAUCUCAGAAAUGUGCUUUAAGAAGAUAUAUGCAGAAGCUCAAACUGAAGGUCCCAAACAGAAGCACGAUCACUGUUUAAUGAAGUACACUCGGCUUCAAUUGGUGCACACACGGGCACUGUUAAAACCAGAUCCUCAAUGUACUCCAGAAAUUAUUGGGAUGGCAUGACGGUGGACAUUGACUGAUGGGUCUCUGAAUGCGACGGAUGUCAGAGGACUGGUAACUCUUUGGCUGUGUGUGACACAGCCAUUACAAAGCAUUAAGGUGUCUGCUGUUUGGGAGUUGGUUGGGAUAGACCUGACUGGGCCUCUCCCAAAAACCAAGGAUGGCUUUCAGUACAUUCUUACUGCCACCGAUUAUUUUUCCAAGUGGGUUGAGGCCUUUCCUUUAAAAACCAAAACAGCAUCAGAAGUGGCAUAACGGAUCUGCUCAAUUGUUUAUAGACACAGAUGCCCCCAAAGAAUCCUGUCCAACCAAGGAAGAGAAUUUGUCAAUUAGCUCAACGAUAACCUUUGUGCCCUCCUGUGCAUUGAAAGGAGUGUUACAGCUGCAUAUCAUCCUAAGACGAAUGGGCUGGAUGAGCGGACAAAUAGCAACAUAAAACGG